rnacentral:rRNA from 1 species
AUUGAACGCUGGCGGCAGGCCUAACACUUGCAAGUCGAGCGGAUGAAGGGAGCUUGCUCCUGGAUUCAGCGGCGGACGGGUGAGUAAUGCCUAGGAAUCUGCCUGGUAGUGGGGGAUAACGUCCGGAAACGGGCGCUAAUACCGCAUACGUCCUGAGGGAGAAAGUGGGGGAUCUUCGGACCUCACGCUAUCAGAUGAGCCUAGGUCGGAUUAGCUAGUUGGUGGGGUAAAGGCCUACCAAGGCGACGAUCCGUAACUGGUCUGAGAGGAUGAUCAGUCACACUGGAACUGAGACACGGUCCAGACUCCUACGGGAGGCAGCAGUGGGGAAUAUUGGACAAUGGGCGAAAGCCUGAUCCAGCCAUGCCGCGUGUGUGAAGAAGGUCUUCGGAUUAUAAAGCACUUUAAGUUGGGAGGAAGGGCAGUAAGUUAAUACCUUGCUGUUUUGACGUUACCAACAGAAUAAGCACCGGCUAACUUCGUG